UAACAAGGAUUCCCCUAGUAACUGCGAGUGAAGCGGGAAAAGCUCAAAUUUAAAAUCUGGCGGCUCCGCCGUCCGAGUUGUAGUCUGGAGAAGCGUUUUCCGCGUCGGACCGUGUACAAGUUUCCUGGAACGGAGCGUCAUAGAGGGUGAGAAUCCCGUCUUUGACACGGACCCCGAUGCUUUGUGAUGCGCUCUCAAAGAGUCGAGUUGUUUGGGAAUGCAGCUCAAAAUGGGUGGUGAAUUCCAUCUAAAGCUAAAUAUUGGCGAGAGACCGAUAGCGAACAAGUACCGUGAGGGAAAGAUGAAAAGCACUUUGGAAAGAGAGUUAAACAGUACGUGAAAUUGUUGAAAGGGAAACGCUUGAAGUCAGUCGCGUCGUCUUGGACUCAGCCUUGCAUCAGCUUGGUGUACUUCCUUGUCGACGGGCCAGCAUCAGUUUUGACCGCGGGAAAAAGGCUUGGGGAAUGUGGCUCCCUCGGGAGUGUUAUAGCCCCUCGUCGCAUGCCGCGGUUGGGACUGAGGUCAUCAGCACGCCUUUUUGGCCGGGUUCGCCCACGUACGUGCUUAGGAUGCUGGCGUAAUGGCUUUAAACGAC
rnacentral:rRNA from 2 species